rnacentral:tRNA from 1 species
UGCGGGAUCGUCUAAUGGCAGGACAUCAGCCUUUGAAGCUGAUUAUCCUGGUUCGAAUCCAGGUCCCGCAG